GACGCUAGCGACAGCCUAACACAUGCAAGGUCGAGGGCAGCACAAGGAGCAAUCUGGAGGUGGCCGGACCGGCGCGACGGGUGAGUAACACGUAUGCAACCUGCCUGUAAGCGGGGAACUAACCGUUAGAAAGACGGACUAAUACCGCAUAAUACUAAAUUACUGCAUGGUAAUUUAUUUAAACAUUUAUGGCUUACAGAUGGGCAUGCGCAUGAUUAGCUAGUUGGAGAGGUAACGGCUCCCCAAGGCAACGAUCAUUAGGGGUUCUGAGAGGAAGGUCCCCCCACACUGGUACUGAGACACGGACCAGACUCCUACGGGAGGCAGCAGUGAGGAAUAUUGGUCAAUGGACGAGAGUCUGAACCAGCCAAGUCGCGUGCAGGAAGAAUGUCCUAUGGAUUGUAAACUGCUUUUGCAGGGGAAUAAAGUGCAUCACGUGUGAUGUUUUGUAUGUACUCUGCGAAUAAGGAUCGGCUAACUCCGUGCCAGCCGCCGC
rnacentral:rRNA from 1 species